AUGGAUGGAGAGAGGAGAAAACCUAUGGUAGCUGUGAAGGCCCUGAUGCCAUGUAUGUCAAAUUGAUAUCAUCCGAUGGCCAUGAAUUUAUUGUAAAAACAGAACGUACAUUAACAUCAGCACGAUAAAAGCCAUGUUGAGUGGCCCAGGUCAAUUUGCUGAGAAUGAAACCAAUGAGGUCAAUUUGAGAGAGAUACCUUCACAUGUGCUAUCAAAAGUAUUCGCUACACCAACAGCUCCACCGAGAUUCCUGAAUUCCCAGUUGCACCUGAAGUUGCUAUAGAACUGCUGAUGGCUGUGAACUUCCUAGAUUGUUAA
rnacentral:lncRNA from 1 species